rnacentral:rRNA from 2 species
ACGGGAGGCAGCAGUGGGGGAUAUUGGACAAUGGGGGAAACCCUGAUCCAGCGACGCCGCGUGAGUGAAGAAGUAUUUCGGUAUGUAAAGCUCUAUCAGCAGGGAAGAAAAAAUCAAAAUUGACUGUACCUGACUAAGAAGCUCCGGCUAACUACGUGCCAGCAGCCGCGGUAAUACGUAGGGAGCAAGCGUUAUCCGGAUUUACUGGGUGUAAAGGGAGCGUAGGCGGUUCGGCAAGUCAGAUGUGAAAACCCGGGGCUCAACCCCGGGACUGCAUUUGAAACUGUCGAACUAGAGUAUCGGAGAGGUAAGUGGAAUUCCUAGUGUAGCGGUGAAAUGCGUAGAUAUUAGGAGGAACACCAGUGGCGAAGGCGGCUUACUGGACUGUAACUGACGUUGAGGCUCGAAAGCGUGGGGAGCAAACAGGAUUAGAUACCCUGGUA